rnacentral:rRNA from 1 species
CCUACGGGGGGCUGCAGUGGGGAAUAUUGCACAAUGGGCGCAAGCCUGAUGCAGCCAUGCCGCGUGUGUGAAGAAGGCCUUCGGGUUGUAAAGCACUUUCAGCGGGGAGGAAGGCGUUAAGGUUAAUAACCUUGGCGAUUGACGUUACCCGCAGAAGAAGCACCGGCUAACUCCGUGCCAGCAGCCGCGGUAAUACGGAGGGUGCAAGCGUUAAUCGGAAUUACUGGGCGUAAAGCGCACGCAGGCGGUCUGUCAAGUCGGAUGUGAAAUCCCCGGGCUCAACCUGGGAACUGCAUUCGAAACUGGCGGGCUAGAGUCUUGUAGAGGGGGGUAGAAUUCCAGGUGUAGCGGUGAAAUGCGUAGAGAUCUGGAGGAAUACCGGUGGCGAAGGCGGCCCCCUGGACAAAGACUGACGCUCAGGUGCGAAAGCGUGGGGAGCAAACAGGAUUAGAUACCCUAGUAGUC